CAGUCGCCGCGGGAAUACAGAGGGUGCGAGCGUUAAUUGGAUUUACUGGGCGUAAAGCGUGCGUAGGCGGCUUUUUAAGUCGGAUGUGAAAUCCCUGAGCUUAACUUAGGAAUUGCAUUCGAUACUGGGAAGCUAGAGUAUGGGAGAGGAUGGUAGAAUUCCAGGUGUAGCGGUGAAAUGCGUAGAGAUCUGGAGGAAUACCGAUGGCGAAGGCAGCCAUCUGGCCUAAUACUGACGCUGAGGUACGAAAGCAUGGGGAGCAAACAGGAUUAGAUACCCCCGUAGUCCCUGUCUCUUAUAA
rnacentral:rRNA from 1 species